CUCGAUAGCUCAGCGGUAGAGCAUUCGGCUGUUAACCGAAGGGUCGUUGGUUCGAACCCAACUCGGGGAG
rnacentral:tRNA from 1 species